rnacentral:rRNA from 1 species
UACAGAGGUCCCAAGCGUUGUUCGGAUUCACUGGGCGUAAAGAGCUCGUAGGCGGUUUGUUGCGUCGGCUGUGAAAUCCCGAGGCUCAACCUCGGGUCUGCAGUCGAUACGAGCAAACUAGAGUGUUGCAGGGGAGACUGGAAUUCCUGGUGUAGCGGUGAAAUGCGCAGAUAUCAGGAGGAACACCGGUGGCGAAGGCGGGUCUCUGGGCAACAACUGACGCUGAGGAGCGAAAGCGUGGGGAGCGAACAGG